CGGGUGGCUGGGUAAAAAAUUAUCCAGAAAAUUAAUACUAAUACCAAAGUAAAUAGGUACCUACUAGAUACCUAUUUACUUAUACUACAUAUUAUAUAAAAUUACAGCUACCGGAUUACAGAGCUUUUUUCCUACAUUAUACAGUAGGUAUACAUGGCUCUUUAAAUCGCUUAUAAUCUACCAGUAUCUAGAAGUAUCUAAAAGAAAACCAACGUUUAAGCACCUAUAUUAAUGUCCCACAGAAAUAAUUAAGGUGAUUCAAGGAACACGACUAAAUAGUCAGCGAGAUCGAAUAUUAUGUAUAUUUAAUUCAAAAAUACACACAAAUACAAGAUUUUUUAAAGACAUUCAAAAACAAUUGAAUCGUACAGGGAGAAUAUCGUUUGAUUAUUGAUAAAGUAUAUCCGUGCGGAUCAAGAACAAAUCAUACAAUUCAAUUUAAUGUCUAUUCUAGUAAAAAGGCAUCAAAUAUAACUGAAAUUAUAGGGAAUAUUACAUUUUUGAUACUUUUCGACGAUAAUCUUACUGUAAGUAUAUAAUGUUUAAUUUAAUAUUUCGUAUAAUACAGUGAAACGUCCAUAUCAUAUUAUAAUGCCUGAAAGACAAAGACUCAAAUGCACAAAGACAACCAAAAAUAUUCUUCAUUCAGAGAAUUUUCUUAAAUAGAAUCCUUUGUAUGUGUAAAAGUAGAUGGUUCGAAUUAAGAGCACUAAGAGUAUUUUACUACGACUAAUUCACAAACCACAACGCAAUAAACAAGAACCGUGCUUAUACGAGAGCUGGCUGUACAAUUACUUGUUGAAUUUUGAGAAUACAAACAAAAAAUUGACGUAAUAUAUCCAACAUUAUGAUUAUUUGAACCACGAGGUUUGUACUAUAGUCCAGUGGCGUAAUUACGGGUCGGAGAUUUGGGUGUCGUAUCCCCCCCCCCCUGUUACUUUUUUUUUAACUGGUAAUCCAUAUUAAUAUGUGUAGGGCCGGAACUUGAUGUAUUUGCAUCUUUUUUUCUAAUGCUUACAUACGAUGACGCUCGUCUUUACAGACAUUUGAUUAAUGGAAUAUUGAAUUUAAUGGUACAUUUUUCAUAUUUGCAUUUUUACUAAAUUUAUUGCUUAAACGU